UAGAAAUAGUGUCAUUGUAUGUGUUAUUUCUGUAAAAUGGAGGGGAUAAGGAGAGAAGUAGAUCAACAAAGAAAAUUAUGUAAUUUAACAACAGUAUUGCCAUUUAUCUUCCUUACAGUAUUUGAUGCAAUACCUUAAGAUUCAUGCCUGUCUGACUGGAAGGAAGGGGAUGAAGGUUGAAUGGAUGCUGAAGGGUUUCCACACACUGCACCAGGUUGCACAGUGGAAGGUGGUGGGUCCUUGACAGUGGAGCUGAUACUUUCUCCAUGACAGAGGAAAGGAACAUUUGAUCUGGGGGAAUAAAUGAUAAAUAAGACACUUGCACAAAUCA